UACAGGGGGGGCAAGCGUUGUUCGGAAUUACUGGGCGUAAAGGGCUCGUAGGCGGCCAACUAAGUCACACGUGAAAUUCCCAGGCUUAACCUGGGAACUGCGUGUGAUACUGGAUGGCUUGAAUCCGGGAGAGGGAUGCGGAAUUCCAGGUGUAGCGGUGAAAUGCGUAGAUAUCUGGAGGAACACCGGUGGCGAAGGCGGCAUCCUGGACCGGUAUUGACGCUGAUGAGCGAAAGCCAGGGGAGCAAACGGG
rnacentral:rRNA from 1 species